GUUGAACGCUGGCGGCAGGCCUAACACAUGCAAGUCGAGCGGAUGAAGGGAGCUUGCUCCUGGAUUCAGCGGCGGACGGGUGAGUAAUGCCUAGGAAUCUGCCUGGUAGUGGGGGAUAACGUCCGGAAACGGGCGCUAAUACCGCAUACGACCUGAGGGAGAAAGUGGGGGAUCUUCGGACCUCACGCUAUCAGAUGAGCCUAGGUCGGAUUAGCUAGUUGGUGGGGUAAAGGCCUACCAAGGCGACGAUCCGUAACUGGUCUGAGAGGAUGAUCAGUCACACUGGAACUGAGACACGGUCCAGACUCCUACGGGAGGCAGCAGUGGGGAAUAUUGGACAAUGGGCGAAAGCCUGAUCCAGCCAUGCCGCGUGUGUGAAGAAGGUCUUCGGAUUGUAAAGCACUUUAAGUUGGGAGGAACGGCAGUAAGUUAAUACCUUGCUGUUUUGACGGUACCAACAGAAUAAGCACCGGCUAACUUCGUG
rnacentral:rRNA from 1 species